UGCUAAUUGACAUCAUUAAGUGCGUCGCCUCCGUUUUCAUUGAUGAUAUGAAUUUGGCUGUCAAGUACGUAGAAAAUUUGGUCAAAGUCCCAAGAUUCAACAUGCUAAUCAUGUGUCUUUCAGCUGCAGAUAAGGCUGAUCUUGUCAAAAUAUGGGAUGAAGUAUUUUGUGGUGAAGCAACACCAAUUGAGCAUGCAGAGAUUCUUGAUGACCUGCGAUCUAAGUACUGCCUCAAGUGAUGGCAGCACAGGUGUAUAUGGGAAAUUUGCUUCCUUUUUUUUGUGCUGUCUUCAUUAUAAAUUAUUCAUGCAACAAAUUCAAAUCCUCUACCUCAUCUUUGUUAAUCUAUAUGAUGAGAUCCAUCAACC
rnacentral:misc_RNA from 1 species